GGGCUGUGGGACUCCAACCGAAGGGCUCUUUUUCAGUCCCCCUUCCUUAAAGUCUGCAGUAGUGAUGGAGUCUAUUUUCCAAGCUGCCUCCUUCUGCUUUCCUUCUCUGGCUCCUCCCCCACCUACAAAAUGUGGACACUCUCCCUGCUUCCCCGUUUGCAUCUCUGUUGCCUACACCCUCCUUCUGAUCUCAGUCCCUGUCCCUGUUCUGUGGCAGAGAUGACCACCAGGUUGCCAUGCCCCCCUGCAGAGACGUAUGGCCAGUGGGGGACUCCCCGUCCAGGUCCCCUGCAUGUGGGUGGGGUCAAGAGGCUGAGGUCCGGCCGAUGCAAUGUCUGGCUCCGGAAAACCACCUCUGAGAUCCUCCAUGUUCUGUGGCAGAUGGUUGUCUACUGAAGGGUGAGCCCCACAGCUUCCCUCAGUCAGAAUCCUUGCAUGACCACAGGAGCAGAGCCCCACAGGUUGGCGUUCUGUGAGCAAGAAAUGAACUUCUGGUGUGUAUCUCAGGCUGGGGAGGCUGUUGCAGUAGCCAGGAGGCCUCCACUAAGAUCCCUAACUGACCUUCGUGUUCCUGAGCUCUCCCCACCCCAGGAGCCUCCUCCUUCCUCUCUCCCCUAUAUCCCAUUGCUAACCCAGUCUUCCUUCAGUCCAUCUGGGGCGUGUCCCUGUCUUGCCUCCGAGUCUUCAGCGACCUCCUUCUCAUCUACAGACACAAGGACAAGCUUCUGGAAGAGGCAUGGAGACCUCAAGCCCCUGGCUUUUUCUCAUGUGAAAUCAGAAUACUCAGAGUUGCCCAAAUGUAUCCUGCCCAUGCUCAUGUUUUCUGUCUUCGUCAAAAUCCCUCAUUUAGAAUCCCUCCUUCUCUGACUUUUCGGGUCAUCCGGCCGUACCAACUGAGGAGCGCCUACCGUCCUCUGCCUGUGUGUCACCCAGGGCCCUCCCUGUCUGUCCCACCCUGCAGGUGUGUGUGCUCACUCCUACCUGACUGUUGGCGCCCCGAGCACACGCCCAGGCCCCCACCGUCACCCCUGGGCCAGCCAGAUUCCCCUCCCUGCCUCCCCGCCCCCCCGCCCCCAUCCCCGGCAAGGCUCCAUCUUUCUUUCUCGAGGGUGAGGCUGGGGAUUGUGGAGUAUACACAACCAGCUCAUCCAUCUUCCUCCUCCCAACACACUCACAGGGCUGGCUGGGUGACCUUUUGCAUCUGUGGAUUCCCCUCACGUUCUCUCUCUUUUUUUUUCUUUUCCAACACGGGGUCUUGGAGCUCGCUCUGAGGCCUGGCCGGGCUGGGAAGAAGUUGUCUGCGCAGUUAUAUUUAGGCUAGCAGAGCCAUCAAUCCAAGCCUUAUUUCAGCUGGAUCCCCCAGCACGUCCCCACCCACUCCUAACGAGAGGCCGAUCGCCUCCUCCGGGUCGCAGGCUCCAUUUCCGACCUUCACGUGGCCCACACAUGUGUGAGCGUGUGGUAGAUGUCCGUGAACGCUCGCCCUCCCCGGCCACGUUCAAAGGAGGGUCUCUCUCCUCUUCAGGCCUUCCUUCGCGGGGACUUUUCUCUCCCUUCUGUCCUGAGGAUCUUGUGACCUUCUUCAAGCCCUCUUCCCUCCCAGAUUAGCCAGCAGCAAACCUCGUUGAUGGGGAAGACAUGGCCUCCUCCAGAGCUUCUCGGUCCUGUCUUUCUCCUUGCCCACAGGGCGGCUGCCCUGGCGGUCAUGGGGGAGAAGCAGGCAGAAGACAAAGACCAGACACUGAAGCAGAAAGCAGGGUUGGCAGUCAGCUAGAACGUGGGAGGAAGGGCCCGCGCAUGAACACGCCUCGUGAGCCGCUUGUGCGUGUCUGCGGGUGUGCACACGCGUGUGGAGCGCACCGAGGGCGCACGAGAGGCCGCGCACGGGAACACUGGGGCCGACCCUUCCUACUCCUUGACUUGGCGACUGCAGCCCUGGUUCAUUUCCAUCCCCACUGAUGAAACGCUUCUUUAUGUCUUAUUCACAUCCUGUCUUGACUACCACAAUUGUCUCCUUGCCGGGCCCACAUGUCUCUCAUCACCAAUGGGAUCCAAAUGUUGCUGACAAAAUAAUCUCGCUGCCUUUGUGCUGCAGUCACAUUCCUUCACUUUUCCAAAGUUUUCUCCGUCUCCCAUCCCUGGACGAAUCGCGCACACGGACCACCGCCUCUCUCUGCGUCUCCGUUUCCCCCUCGGCUCCGCUCCCGGUCCUCUCUCUGUUUCUUCUAUGGGCUCCUUUCCCUCCUCUGGCUACUCCUGGGCUCCCGGCUCAGGCGGGCCUGUGCCGGUUUCCUGGCACGAGCUCCCUGCACUGUGUGCUCUGUCAGCCAAUGUUUAUGGAGAGUGACAGGCACUCUUCUAGGCACUGGAGUGAAGCAAGAUACAAAACUGAGGACAGCGGUCAGCAAAGAAAAACAGAAUGGCCUGUCGAGGACUGAUGGUAUUUUGAAGUCGUCUCUACACCCAGCAUGGGCCUCACACCUCCAGCCCCAAGAUGAAGAGCCGUACCGUAUGCUCCCCUGACUGAGCCAGCUAGGCACCCCCAUUUUUACCUUAUUAAUGUGGUUAUUACAAAAUAUAAAAUUGCAUAUGG